rnacentral:tRNA from 1 species
GGCUCCAUGGUCAAGCGGUUAAGACAUCGCCCUUUCACGGCGGUAACGGGGGUUCGAUUCCCCCUGGAGUCACUA